rnacentral:lncRNA from 1 species
UUUCUAAUUUAUUAUAUAAAUCAGCCUGAAUGGCAAUCUUUGAUAAUAUCAAAAACGCAUAUACGGACAUAGGAAUCCCAACUCAGUUAAAACAGAAAGAGUGCUUAUCAUGAUAGCAGCCCCAUAUCCAAUUCACACGGAGACCAGGAUUUGGGUGGGUGGUGUGUGACAUCAGCACCGUGCUUGUCGGAUCUACACAUCAUGCUUGUUUGUUUAGCUUUAUCCUAUGACCCAAGAAAGGUCUACAAGCAACCACAAGAAAAGAGCAAUUUUAAUCUGAUUAACACAUCAAUUAUCGUGCCUAUCAAAAUUUAAACAUAAAGAUAUAUGGAACUCUUUCACAUUCAACACUACACUAGAUUUUCGAACCUAAAGGCAAUUUUGGUGGGCAGAUGCAAUGGGCGUGAAGAUGGAACUCUUUGAUGGAUGUUAUG